AUUUCAUCUGGGCACAGAAAGGAAAGCAAGGCAAGAGGCUUUAGCUUGGCUUAUGGUGGGUUUGACUUGUGCGACUCAGCUCAAGAGGGGAUCAGGUUGGAAUGCUCAGCGCUGAGGUGUUCAACGUCUGCUUUUGGUACAGAUUUCUCAUACCUGGCACAAAGCAUUUAGGUCACAGCAGGAAGGGGUUAAUGAACCUUCCCCUAAGGCAAAAUUUCAGCCAGCCCCCUUUGACAGGGCUGUUGUGCCUCUCCUGGGCAGGGCUCUCCAGCUGAGGCUAAUCCCUGCAUCCUCCAGCUGUAGUUAAUGCUUGGGAAGGGGAUAUAAAAAGGAGGAGCUCAGCAAGCUUGGUUAGGGACUUUCCUGGAGUGAGCAAGCUGAGGCUUAGUGAGUUUUAGGUGCUGGCCCUCAGCUGGAUCCUGCCAUUCAAUGAGCAGCCCUUUCAGAAGUGCUUGCCAAGGUCAGGGGAGAGCUUACAACCUAAUGCUGCCUUCCCGUAGAUCAAAGAGUGUGCAGACAUGAGAGAUCAGAACAGCCAACACAGCAGAGGCAGGCUGAGCACAGCGAGGUCCCAACAGACGGAGGAACAUGGGGUUCCUGCACAGCCUGGUGUGAGCAGACCAGAGGAGCAGCUCUGCUUUGAGAGGCUGUGGAGGGAUGACGUUGGGAACACAGGCUCCCUGCACAAGGUCCGAGCACGUAAGUCAGUCUCAUGACCUGGGUGACUUCUCCUCUUCUGUGCUAGACAAGGAGGGGCUUUGAGGAGAAACAGUACAAAACACUGGUAUAAUAAAUACAUUCACAGCAGAAACAGCUUGGUUCUUGUUGAGACAGAGAGUGCAGGGAGGUAUCUGUGCUGCCCAUGGGACUGUGGUAUACACACAACCAAGGUAACUGCAGCUGCUGCUCGCCAGAGCCUCCAAGUUCACGUGGAUGCAGCUUCAUGACUUGUUUUGCAACCCAUCCUGAACCAGUUCUUAUGUAACUUAAUAAACUUAAAGCUAAUUUAAGUGAUUCAACCAGUGAUGCCCAUUACUGGAGCACACAAACAUCUCAUGAGCCUGGAUUCAUCCUCAGCCCAGGCAGUGCUUUUAUCCCCAUUCUACUCUGGGAAGCAAAAAUGGAACAGGGCAAAAUGACUUCCACAGAGAGGCUGGAAAUGAGUAGCAGAGCAGGAAACUAGACCUACAUCCCCUCAUCAUCUUGUUACUUCUCAUUUAAUGGUUACAGCUGGAGAAUUAAAGCUAUAUCAUAUUCCUGUGGGCACACAGCACAUGCCAAGCAAGCUGACAUUUCAAAGACCUAUUGUUUUUCGAGCGGGUUCCUUCUAUCUGGGAAAAUGUUCUAUUAUCUUGGGGGGAGAGAGGCAGAAACUUGCAUCAGAAAUCACUUGAUUCUGCAGCCAGCUUGUUAGAUGUUAGUCCAGGCAUUGUCUGGAUGUCAGUCCAGACCAAGAAUAGUGGAUCUGACCGCCUGUGUGAUGUGUUUACUUUGCCACCUGCUUUCAGAGACCACUACAUAAGCAAAUGACUGUUUAAAAUGCUUUUAUGUGUGCAUCUCGCAAGAGAACUGUGUCACAGAUGAUGCUCUGAGAGGGAGCUCUCCCCAGACUGCCUCUAUGUUAAAAGCAGGGCAACUGAGGAUUCUUUUCAAUGGGGGUAUUUACAUUCCAUUACAAAACAAACACUGGUAGUAUUUCACAUGCAUUCCCGGAACAGAAGUCAACAGUAGCUGCACACUGUCUCAUUGCUCUUUAAUUCAGUUUGCGUCAGAGAGAUCUUAAAGUCAAGAAUCACAUUUGCAGAUGGUCGGGCAGUUCAUGAACUGCUGGAGCUGCCCAGAGGUUGUGUAAGUUAAGGAUGCAAAACAAAGGCAGUUCACAUCCAAACUGCAGGAGGCAAAGACCUGCUGCUCUCCCAUCUCCUUCCCUCUCCAAGGGUCUUUUUUGCCAUCCUUUGGAUGCUGUUUUGUAUCUCUCAUCUCUCGUGAGGCAACUUAGCACCCCAGCCUGCAUCUGUUAUCCCACUGUGCUCAUCCCUGUCCUCACUCAGAGCUGAGAAGGAGAGUCCUGGAAGUCCUUUACGCUUGUACAUAGACACCUAAGCAAGCGGUUUCCAAUACUGUCAGGAGGGUGCUUAGAAACUUCUUGCCUUGCUGUUGAGGUGCAGGGUAAUUGCUGAUCUAGACUCAUCUGCUUUAAGUCAGAAGAGGGAACACUGAGUUCAAGUGAAACACGCUUGGAUGGCAACAGAACAGCGUUAUCUGUGUUAGCAUUUAAUCAGGGUAUCCUGGCUUUUUCAAUGUGUGACAUACCUCAGGUAAUGACUGCACUGCCUCUCUUAUGCUGCCGAGCUGCUCAACACUUACUCAGGAGGUAGAAUGUUCCCAACAUUGCCCCUUGGGUGUUGGGAGCCUUCCAGCUGGGAAUCAUGCUGUGUGUAUGCAGGGCUGUGUUGCAGCAGGCACGUCUCGCAGAUGUAAAUGGAUUCCCUGGCUGGCCUAUCUUUAAGAUCUGGGCGCUUCAGGACAUUUUUUUUCUUGGCUCUUGGUUACUCUGUUUGAGUCUUACCAGUCGUGUUCUUCUUCAAAGUAACAUAUGGAAAUGAUCUGAGAUCAGUUUUGCUUUGCUCACAGCAGACUUGUUCUGUGCAUGGGAACCGUUUCACAUGCUGUCUGCCCAGCUGGUGUGCAGCAAGACCAAAGGCAGCUUCCUGCCACCACCUUUCAGGGUACACAGUGGUUUCUCACCCAUGGCACAGGUUAGAGCAGGAAUCUCAAGUGCUGUCUUUCAAGCUGUAGUUAUUGAUCGUAUCAAUUCCUUGCUCUGUUCCUUUAUCACAGAAUUACGGAUGUUGAUAACAGGUUUAUUUCUGCUGUAACACACCCAGAGGCUGACACUACCUGGCUUUGUUUCUCCUUGCAUGCAGGUAUAUUGAAAGCUGUCAAGUUUCUACAGCCAACUCCAGAGUCUGGCCUCAAGUAGCCUAUUGUUCAACAGCAGUAUGGUUUGCUGUCUUUUGGCUCCUAAUCUGUGGAUCUUCCUAUGAAUCACACUGGACAGUCUCAAUGAGACAUGGGUGCAGCAGCAAGAGUUGGUUAUUUGCUCUGUUAGUUAAACAAAAUACAAGAAGACAUGCCCAAAGGCCACAGCAUGAAUUCUGCCUCUGGCAUUGUCAUGGCCCGCAGGAAGCUCACAGGUUUUAGCUCCGUUGACUUUCUGAUUGCUGGUCAAUGCGGAUUGUAGGGCUGUUGGGGCUAAUGGCAGCUUCUGUUUGGUAGAAGAAACCUUUCUGUACCAUUAUAGCUUCCUCAUUCCCCAUUUACCCUACCUCAAGAUGGUGCGCAUGCAGCAGCCAUGUGUUGGGCUGUGCCUCUUUGGACUCUGCUUGUACAUCAAGGGUGAUGGAUUUGUGUGAUUUAACAUGUAGAACUGUGUGUGGGUCAAACAUUGGCUCCUUCAAUCUGACACUUGCUCGAUUCAUUUGCUUUCAGCCGUGUCUGAUGGUGGUACCUCACGGGCAGAACAUGAUGGUCCUCAGCAGAAACCCCACCACGGUAACUCCUGUGCAGCAUUCCAGAUACCCAAGGGCACUGUUAAUUUUCCUGCCACUGGAGUACCCAUCAAGAAGCUGGUUUUGUUCUCUGCACGUAGCAGGGAUAGCCAACUUCUGUGCCUUCAUUUCUCAUUGCAGCUCAUAGAAUUUCAUUUAACCCUGAGCUCCCCAAUCACUGUUCUUCCUAAGAUUGCUGUUGGAAGUAUUUUUCUGGCUUGGUGAUCUAUAACCUUUUUCAUAUGGAUCCAGCAAUUCUUCAGCCUCUUUAUCUUCAAGCUGCUCUUUGCACUCCUUUACCACUGCUCCUCAUGCCGCGCUCACUGCUCCAUGCACAGUCUUCCUACCCAGCCACCUUGGAUCUAGUUUACUUCCUUGGUGGAUGCUGCAGUGCUUUAUACUUGCAGAAUAAAACCAAGUCAGUAUCUCUGUGGGGUUUGUACAAUCACAUGGUGGGGAGCAGAAUAGGAAGCCUUGAUUUCUUCCCAGCAACCAUUCUUAGCUUCUAUUACUGUUGAUCACUGUGUUGAUAAAUAGCACCAUAAAAAUUAGAGUAAUAAAUUCAGUCUUUGUCAGAACUUCUGGGAAGCUUUGUUAAAAAGCAAACAAAUUAUCUUCCCACUUGGGAUAUUUCAGAUGCUUUUUACAGACAAAUUUAUGGGUCUUUUAUGAGACCAGGAGUAUGUAGCCUACAUGACUUAAUGCAAAAUGGUGAUGAGCCAAAUGCCAGGGAAUGAUGAGGUGGCAUUGUCACCCUGCUGAUGGAGGGAUCGUGAUGAUCUCGAAGAGGGCUGCUGGUUUUAAUCAUGAAAGUAGUGCUUUUGAAUUCUUUGUAUGAGGCUGAAGCAGAAGCGGCUAAGUACAUCAGCCUAACAGAGUGCUUUACAGCCAUGAGUGGACAUCCUGGUCCAGGUUCUCCAUGGGAAUUUGGUAGCUAACUCAACUUGCAGGGACCUAAAUACCUCUGGACACUUCCACCCUGAAUCUGCCUGCAAAGAUCAUCCUUCAGGCAGUGUUUCUUGGUUUAAAACCGAGAGCAAUCAGGCUGUUAAAGCCAAGAAGUCCUACCUGCAGCACUGUGCUGUGACACACGGUGAUUCACAGCCCCUGCCUGGGGAGUCACCUUGUCUCAGUCAUGCUCAGACUCCACCAGUGUUUACCAGUCUCAAAAGCUGGAUGUGCCACUGCUAUGGACACGUGAUGGUUUCCACCACUGAAAUCACUGCCGUGCUAAUCCAGUGCUUGCCAAUGGGGUUUGAACCAGGACUGACAACUAAAUUAGUCUUUAAAAUGAAUACAAUACAGCAUAGGGGAUAAAAUGGAGUUACAAGAAGGGUUCCGUGGAGUUCUCACUAAAAGCCAGCAGAAGCAGCCAGCAGAAGCAGCCAGCGGGGCUCUGCACCUUGCCCCCCUCUCCUUAGGGUCAUGCUGGCUGUGCCUCCCAGCCUGUGCGUCGGUGGAUUCAUUCCACUGGCAGCCCUGCUCCAGCCACAGCCUCAGGCAAAGGGCUGCUUCAUGAGAAACUCUUUAAUGCAUGAAAUGGUUUGAAAUGAAAGUUGUGGGAAUCGUGCUGACGGUAACGUGGGUUAUUCACUGGGGAAUGUUUUAUUAUUUCAUUAAAGCAGUGAAGCCCAGGGCCUGACUGUAAUUCAGACCACACCAAACGGAGCAGGGCUUUGGUUUUAAUUCCUCUUACGUCUUUAACAGUGAAAGAAUUAACACAUGAAUAUGGACACAAAUACAUGAGAAGCAUGAUUUAACUUUCAGAGACAAAUCGGUGCUGACACACAGAGAGGGAGCUGUAUGUGGUUAACAAGGAGGACUUUGGGUUGGCAUCACAAGGCUCCUUCCAAAAGCCUGUUAUGUUCCCUGCCUUUCCGCCUGAACUCUGGCUCCAGAGCUCAGGAAAGGAUUGCAUCAGGAGCAAGCUGUACAACAGUAUCCUUGUUUUCUUAAUAAAGAGAAUGUCGCAGAACAGGU